GCUUAGCUCAUUCGUUCAAGUUCCAAAAGGAAUCAUACGACCUUUUCACUCACACAACGACUCGCUAAUUAACUGAAUCGUUUAAAGCGGUUCUUCUGAACUUCCUCGUGGAGCAGAACGCAGAAACUUUGUGGACAAAAAUUACAAAAGGAGCGCUGGAUAAAGUAAAUAUUGACCAGCAAUGCAUUGAAAAAACACAAUACGUUUGAUGACAGCGAUGAAGAAGUUAUGAAGUUCAACACCUGCAAGCAACUUGACCACACAGAAGACUCGGAGCAAGACAGAACAGAGAGCGCUUAGAUCACCGGCUCUCUGAAGACACCGGUACGAGCCAAGCUGAGAUGUGCUACCACAGGAGGAGAUAUUUUGAUUAUUCUGAAAGCUUGACAGUUUCAGGUAAAUGCCUGGAGUCAAAAGUCUGGCUAGAGUCUGUUACAUCCCUUUCGAGCUUGUUGAGACUCAGGCAGGGCAUGACUACAUAAUGGUUAUGUCAUUAUGUAGUCAUGGCCAUAUGACAUUUAAAGUGUCUCUGCCUGUCAGCCAGUCUCUGAGUGUCUGGCAGCAAAACAAGGCAGUAAUGUGUAUUUAUAGAGCAGUGGCCAUGCGGAGCGCACAGGGCUGAAUGGAGGCGUGUGUCCGAUGUGAUUGCUUGACCCUUGGUUGAAGGAAAGAGUUGACUGACAUCUUCAGGCAUUGACUAUAAGAAGGCCCUUUACUUUUAGCGCAAAUGGAGUUUCCUUUUUGAGCCACCAAGACAGUAUGUAGUGGUCAGGAUUUUUGUCUGUAUGUGACUACUGCACAUGGUGAGUUGCACUUGCUGUUUGUGGAACUUCCAUUCAGUAAAACUAAAACAAAUAAAUGAAAUCCAAAUGUACUUUUUCUAUUUGUAUACAGAAUGUACAGAUAAAAAUCAGACUUAUUAGCCCACCG
rnacentral:lncRNA from 1 species